UUAAAGCUCGUAGUUGACCUUGGGCCUGGCUGGCCGGUCCGCCUCACCGCGUGUACUGGUCCGGCCGGGCCUUUCCUUCUGGGGAACCUCAUGCCCUUCACUGGGCGUGCUGGGGAACCAGGACUUUUACUUUGAAAAAAUUAGAGUGUUCAAAGCAGGCCUUUGCUCGAAUACAUUAGCAUGGAAUAAUAGAAUAGGACGUGUGGUUCUAUUUUGUUGGUUUCUAGGACCGCCGUAAUGAUUAAUAGGGAUAGUCGGGGGCAUCAGUAUUCAAGCGUCAGAGGUGAAAUUCUUGGAUUGCUUGAAGACUAACUACUGCGAAAGCAUUUGCCAAGGAUGUUUUCAUUAAUCAGUGAACGAAAGUUAGGGGAUCGAAGACGAUCAGAUACCGUCGUAGUCUUAACCAUAAACUAUGCCGACUAGGGAUCGGACGGUGUUAGUAUUUUGACCCGUUCGGCACCUUACAAGAAAUCAAAGUUUUUGGGUUCUGGGGGGAGUAUGGUCGCAAGGCUGAAACUUAAAGAAAUUGACGGAAGGGCACCACCAGGCGUGGAGCCUGCGGCUUAAUUUGACUCAUCACGGGGAAACUCACCNGGUCCANACACAAUAAGGAUUGACAGAUUGAGAGCUCCUUCUUGAUUUUGUGGGUGGUGGUGCAUGGCCGUUCUUAGUUGGUGGAGUGAUUUGUCUGCUUAAUUGCGAUAAC
rnacentral:rRNA from 1 species